rnacentral:rRNA from 1 species
AAUGAACGUUGGCGGCAUGGAUUAGGCAUGCAAGUCGAGCGAGAAGUCUUUUUUGCUUGCAUUAAAGAUGGACAGCGGCGAAAGGAGAGUAACGCGUAGAAAUGUACCCCGAGGUCUGGGAUAGCUGCGGGAAACUGCAGGUAAUACCGGAUGAUGUCCCCGGACAAAGUUUUUCGCCUUGGGAGCAGUCUGCGUAUUAUUAGCUUGUGUGGGUAAAGCCUACCAAGGCUUAGAUGAUUAGCGGGCGUGAGAGCGUGGCCCGUCUCACUGGGACUGAGACACUGCCCAGACAUCUACGGAUGGCUGCAGUCGAGAAUCUUCCGCAAUGGGCGAAAGCCUGACGGAGCAAUGCCGCGUGGUGGAUGAAGGCCCUCGGGUUGUAAACACCUGUCAGUAGGAGGAAAUUUUGACCGAUCUACAGAGGAAGUCCGGGCUAAGUACGUGCCAGCAGCCGCGGUAAU